GUCUGUCGGGUUUACCGUCACGCCAUUUUUGCAAUAAAGUCCCUGUGCCUUUUGAUAAUUGAACCCGCACUCCCUUUUUAAGUGGAACUGGGAAAAACGCUUCGUUAUUGCAAAAAAGUCCCUGACCUCCUUAAGAAUCAACCCGGAGUCCCCAAUAGCCCGAGCGCCUCUCCUUCUCACGAACGGAUCUGCCGCUGCCCUCGCCCCAUCGUCGCCCCACCACCGCUCGCCGCUGCGGAUCUGCCGACUCCGCCGCCGUUCCUCUCUAGCCUCCGCCGCCGCCGGCCCUCUCCGCCCUCCCCCGGUCUUUUCCGCCCUCCGUCGCCCUGUUCUUCUUCCCCUCCCCAUCCUCUCCUAAUCUUCUCCGGCGCGCGCACUCGCGGAUGCAGGCGCAUGGCUUGGGCAGGAGACAUGGCUCACGGCGGCGGCAUCUCUCCUCAGGAGGAGCUCGGGCGUUGAGGUCGGGGUGUGCGCUGCCCCUAGGACGGAGUCCACCGACCCAUGCUGGUCAUGGUCCACCACCACCACGCCUUCAAUCCGACCUCCACCACUCCAGCAAGCAGGAGCAUCGCAAUGGCUGCGGUUUGUAUGCUAAGAUGAACUUGAGUUACGAGGUUGAUUUGUUUGUAUGCUAGGAUGAACUUGAGUGACGAGGUUGAUUUGGAAGAUCAUGUCUCCAGACAGGAUAAAAUCAGUGCUAAUGUGAGUUGAUUUGGAAGAUUGUCUCAAGACAGGAUAAAAUCAAUGCUGAUGAUUUUGCUGCUAUUUGACAGGAAGCUGGCAUGCCUGUUAUCCGCAAAAAUCGGUAAUGUUAUCCUGCCCAAGGACUUCGAGAAGGGUUACCGAACAAACUUCAAGAAGCCUUAGACAGACUUCGACUUCUACAAAUGAGGCAACAAACUAUUAAAGAGGAUGCUUUAUUUCCUACGGGCAACAAUUAUUAACACUAGAGUUGAAUUUGUUGACGGUCGCGUCCGACAGUAAUAUCCCUGUAUCUUGGUGCUCCUGUAGUUUGCACAUUCAGUCUCAUUAGUGUUGUUAAGCUACUUGCCUGCACAAAGCGUCAUGGGAUUUGCUUCCCAGCGAGAGAGAAGAGUUCAAAAAGGGAGAGAGCAAAGAAGAAGGACAAGGAGAGGGCAGUGGUGUCGUGUAGAGACUGUGGCCGGCGAGGCAUAACUGGAAGUUUCUCUAAUGGUCGAAAACAAGGAUCACUGCACAACAGGCUUUGGAGCAGGCUCUGAUUCAUAGAGAACUCCCCAACAACCUCAUCUUUUGAGGAUGUUAGAUGGAUAUUGAAUCCAGUAAGCCUCCAAUAGAUAAAGGAAGUCAAAUUUUCUGUUGGUAAUUUGCACGACAGGGUUUUAGCAAAUUUAUGAUUGUGCCUACAACAGACUACCUCUGCCUGAAGAUUUGAGAUUUUUCAGAGAAGAAAGAACUCUAGAGGUGUGCAUGUUUGUCAUAUUUUUAUGGAGAAUCAAGUCUGCAGAAUACCUACUGAUUUGAGGAAUUCAGAUGUUACCCAUGGUCAUACACGGAUGUAGUUUAUGAGAAACUAUCUUAUGUUGAUGGUGUGUAAGCAUAUCAGCCUCCCGGUUGCCUAUUUCAUUCCUCACGGGACCAUUAUGCUGGGCUAAUUGAGGUAUAUCAAAAUUCUAUACUGAACCUCGUUAUAUAGAAAGCUAGCCAAGCAACAUCAGAACGGCCGUCCUCAUCUAGCUUUAUAUUUGGUUGUGCAUCACUAAGAUGAUAAGAUUACAGAUUUACAGUACUAAUUUCCAUAGAUUUUAUAAUUGUUUAUGCUCGCUGUUUAUGGACGAAAUUCAGGAUAAAAACCUUUUUUUGCGAAUCAGGAUAAACACAUUACAGGCAGACGGUCUUGUGUGAGGAUGAUAUUUUUAUAAGAUGUAGCAUUGUCCAUCUAAUCUUCCUCACUACACUUGAUGUGGCUUAUUGCUAGGCUAAAGGGCUUAAAGAAACGAAGAUUAAGAAGUGUAGCAUGUCUUGCGUUUUAUUACCCAAUCCUUAUUUUAGACCAAUAUUUAUAGCGGGCUACUUGCUAACUUUGCACAUAUAUACAUGCUAAAUUGUAUAGCACCUUAUAUUCCGAUGAGAGGGAUAAUGAAAAUAUAUAGAGGAAUAUAAAUCUGCAUACAUUAUUAGCAUCUUACAAUUCUAUAUUUGGGCUCAUGGCCACUUCAAUAUCUUUUUUUGGUGAUCAGCAAUACUUCUUUCUCGAUGCAAUGGGUGAUAGAUGUUUUUUCCCAUGGUUGCUAUUUUAGUAAAAAAAAAAGCAAAUUUGUAUUCAUUCUGUUCUCUAAGGAGUAUACUAGGACACUAAUUUGAAUAGGCGUACUAUGCACGUGGAGCUCUCAGCAAAGCUAUAUGAGCAAGUAUAUCAUAAUAUUGGUAUGUGGAUCACAUAUAGGAUUUGGAAUGUACAUCUCAAAUCUUUAAAUGAUUUUAACUACUACCAAUACCGGUAUGGUCGCAUUAUUGAUCACAGUGAAAAUGGAUUGCUAUUGUUGAUUCGACUUGAGUCUUUGCAUCUAAACUCAUGUAAGUGAUUUGCCUCUCCAUAGUUUUUUAGGUCUUAUAAUUUCUCCUUCCAUAUCCAAAAAAUACAUAAAUUUUCAGCAAAAUCAAUGUAAAAGAUUGUGUGUUUCAAACAUUUACCUUUUGAAUAUUUAGAGUAUGUUAAUGCUUAUUUUUUAUUGUUUAGGUAGAUACCCGCGACAAUGUUUACCUAAUUCUAUUGUUAGUUUAACAUGAUUAAUUAGUCAUACUUAGUUGGUUAUUCCAUUUUUGGAGCAAACUAUAAUUUGCAACCAAUCAAUUUGUUUUUUAUUUUCAUAAUUUUUCAAAACUUCCGCAUAUCUUGAAAAUAUUGAAUUCGAUUUAUCAAAAAUCAAUCGAAUACUGAAUUCAAGGAAAAGAGGAUAAGGGUCAGAACGGGUGGGCUGUCAUACUGAAAAGGAGGUCCUAGAUAACAUGUGUGUGGGGGGGAGUAAGGGGUUAUAAGUCAUGAUUAAUGGGUUAGGACUGUGUGUUCUUCCCGUUGCAACGCACGGGCAUGUUUACUAGUGGGAUACAAAAUAAAGCGAGAACUGUAGAAAAACAAAACCAACACCUGCAGCCUUGUUCUCCCCCUUGGCAAAAGUAAACUACUAGAAACCAUAAGCUUCCUAUAAUAGGCAUGGAAAUGUAACAGUCGGCCACAAGUUGGACUCUGUACCGAAAUGUAACGCUCGGCUGCAGGUUGGGAUUCUGUGCCUACAAUUACAAUUACUUCCCGAAGUAAUGGAAGGUGGUCUGGUCGUUGGAGGAGGAGAUUUGGUCAAGCCCUAGAGCCGAUCCCCAAUUCUCUUUCAGUCAGCGCUAACUUUUUUUUUUGUCCUGGUUUUGCUGCAAAAGGAAGGCUAUCGCUUGGACGAUGUUUCCUUUAGAAACGCGGAUCCCUAAUUUCAGGCUAGGGCGGUUGGAGUUUAUUGAAUUCGACUAAUUACAUAGUACUCCCUCUGUAGACUAAUAUAUAUAAGAUCUUUUAUAGAUCACUAAAGGGGGUACAUCAGAUCAAUUUUUAUAAGAUUAGUAGAAAAAAUUAGCCUUAGACUAGAAUUAAACACGGGAAAUAUGGGCGUGGAAUAUGAACUGAAGAAGAAAAAAGAGAAGACGAGCUUACGAAGGUG